rnacentral:rRNA from 1 species
GUAGGUGGCAAGCGUUGUCCGGAAUUAUUGGGCGUAAAGCGCGCGCAGGCGGUUCUUUAAGUCUGAUGUGAAAGCCCACGGCUCAACCGUGGAGGGUCAUUGGAAACUGGAGAACUUGAGUACAGAAGAGGAAAGCGGAAUUCCACGUGUAGCGGUGAAAUGCGUAGAGAUGUGGAGGAACACCAGUGGCGAGGGCGGCUUUCUGGUCUGUAACUGACGCUGGGGCGCGAAAGCGUGGGGAGCAAACAGGGAUUAGAUACCCUGGUAGUCCACGCCGUAAACGAUGAGUGCUAAGUGUUAGGGGGUUUCCCGCCCCUUAGUGCUGCAGCUAACGCAUUAAGCACUCCGCCUGGGGAGUACGGCCGCAAGGCUG